rnacentral:rRNA from 1 species
UACGGGGGGGGCAAGCGUUGUUCGGAAUUACUGGGCGUAAAGGGCGCGUAGGCGGCCUGCUAAGUCGGAUGUGAAAUCCCUCGGCUCAACCGAGGAACUGCAUCCGAUACUGGCGGGCUGGAAUCCGGGAGAGGGAUGUGGAAUUCCAGGUGUAGCGGUGAAAUGCGUAGAUAUCUGGAGGAACACCGGUGGCGAAGGCGGCAUCCUGGACCGGUAUUGACGCUGAGGCGCGACAGCAUGGGGAGCGAACGGG